GGCCUGUUAGUCAAGAGGUGAAGAUGCUGCCCUUUCACGGCGGAGACAUCGGUUCAAUUCCGGUACAGGCCA
rnacentral:tRNA from 2 species